rnacentral:rRNA from 1 species
GCAGUUGAGGUUAAUACCCUUACCUGUUGAUGUUACCUGAAGAAUAAGCACCGGCUAACUCCGUGCCAGCAGCCGCGGUAAUACGGGGGGUGCAAGCGUUAAUCGGAAUUACUGGGCGUAAAGGGCGCGUAGGCGGUUACUUAAGUUAGAUGUGAAAGCCCCGGGCUU